AUUGAACGCUGGCGGCAGGCCUAACACAUGCAAGUCGAGCGGAUGAAGGGGGCUUGCUCCUGGAUUCAGCGGCGGACGGGUGAGUAAUGCCUAGGAAUCUGCCUGGUAGUGGGGGAUAACGUCCGGAAACGGGCGCUAAUACCGCAUACGUCCUGAGGGAGAAAGUGGGGGAUCUUCGGACCUCACGCUAUCAGAUGAGCCUAGGUCGGAUUAGCUAGUUGGUGGGGUAAAGGCCUACCAAGGCGACGAUCCGUAACUGGUCUGAGAGGAUGAUCAGUCACACUGGAACUGAGACACGGUCCAGACUCCUACGGGAGGCAGCAGUGGGGAAUAUUGGACAAUGGGCGAAAGCCUGAUACAGCCAUGCCGCGUGUGUGAAGAAGGUCUUCGGAUUGUAAAGCACUUUAAGGUGGGAGGAAGGGCAGUAAGUUAAUACCUUGCUGUUUUGACGUUACCAACAGAAUAAGCACCGGCUAACUUCGUG
rnacentral:rRNA from 1 species